rnacentral:rRNA from 1 species
UACGGAGGGUGCAAGCGUUGUCCGGAAUCACUGGGCGUAAAGGGCGCGUAGGCGGCUCAUGAAGGCUGUGGUGAAAGUCCGGGGCUCAACCUCGGAUCGGCCGUGGCGACUCGUGGGCUGGAGCACUGUAGAGGCGGGUGGAAUUCCGGGUGUAGCGGUGAAAUGCGCAGAUAUCAGGAGGAACACCAAUGGCGAAGGCAGCUCGCUGGGACGUGACUGACGCUGAGACGCGAAAGCGUGGGGAGCAAACAGG